CCUACGGGAGACAGCAGUCGGGAAUCUUGCGCAAUGGAGGAAACUCUGACGCAGUGACGCCGCGUGCAGGAAGAAGGUUUUCGGAUUGUAAACUGCUUUAGACAGGGAAGAAAAAAGACAGUACCUGUAGAAUAAGCUCCGGCUAACUACGUGCCAGUAGCCGCGGUAAUACGGAGGGAGCAAGCGUUGUCCGGAUUUAUUGGGGUUAAAGGGUGCGUAGACGGAGAAGCAAGUUAGUUGUUAAAUCCCUCGGCUUAACUGAGGAACUGCAACUAAAACUACUUCCCUUGAUGACUUGAGAGGAAAGUGGAAUUCGUAGUGUAGCGGUGAAA
rnacentral:rRNA from 1 species